rnacentral:rRNA from 1 species
GACGAACGCUGGCGGCGUGCCUAAUACAUGCAAGUCGAGCGAACAGAUGAUGCUCUUGCUCCUCUGUCGUUAGCGGCGGGCGUGUGAGUAACACGUGGAUAACCUACCUGUCAUACUGGGAUAACUUCGGGAAACCGGAGCUAAUCCCGGAUGAUCUCUUGCACCACGUGGUUCGAUGGUAAAAGACGGUUUUUCUGUAUCUUAUCGCUGGAUACGCGCCUCAUUAGCUAGUUGUUACGUUAACAGCUUACGACGGCAACGAGGCGUAGACGACCGGAGAGAGUGAUCGGCCACCCGGGAGCUGAGCCGGGGUCCAGACUCCUAAGGGAGGCAGCAGUAGGGAAUCGUACGCAAUGGGCGAAAGCCUGACGGAGCAACGCCGCGUGAGUGACGAAGGUCUUCGGAUCGUAAAACUCUGUUACGAGGGAAGAACAAAUGUGUAAGUAACUAAGCACGUCUUGACGGUACCUAAUCAGAAAGCCACGGCUAACUACGUG